UAGGCCUUAUUUUAAUAAAAAUACCUGGGUUGCAUGCAGGUGAUGUGGGAAAAGUCUCACAGGUCUUU
rnacentral:tRNA from 1 species